ACUCAAAUGAAUAGACGGGGGCCCGCACAAGCGGUGGAGUAUGUGGUUCAAUUCGACGCAACGCGCAGAACCUUACCUGGGUUUAACAUCCCUUGACAGCCGUAGAGAUACGGUUUUGACUUCGGUCACAAGGAGAUAGGUGCUGCAUGGCUGUCGUCAGCUCGUGUCGUAAGAUGUUGGGUUAAGUCCCGCAACGAGCGCAACCCCUAUCCUUAGUUACCACCAUUAAGUUGGGGACUCUAGGGAGACUGCCGGUGUUAAACCGGAGGAAGGCGGGGAUGACGUCAAGUCCUCAUGGCCCUUACAUCCAGGGCUACACACGUACUACAAUGGCAAAGACAGAGCGACGCAAGACCGCGAGGUGGAGCUAAUCGCAAAAACAUUGUCUCAGUCCGGAUUGGAGUCUGCAACUCGACUCCAUGAAGUUGGAAUCGCUAGUAAUCGCAGAUCAGCACGCUGCGGUGAAUACGUUCCCGGGCCUUGUACACACCGCCCGU
rnacentral:rRNA from 1 species